GCCGCAGGGGUAGACAGGGAUUUCGCCUUCCCCUGUGGCAGGGCAGGGUGAAGAACCCUACAGCAGCCCCUGUUCGGAGGGCUCUGCCGGUGCUUCCACCCACACACAUGGUCGAGAGAGCGGCACAAGGAAUGUGAAAAGCAGCCCCAUGGCUGGUUCCAAAGCAUAAAUGGUUUUGUGUUAUAAAAGGAGUUUGCUCAACCCGGUUUGACUGAAAUGUUUAAAAGCCCACCCUGGGGUUUUUCUAAGAAAAUGCAGAACAGUAUUUUAAAACAUCUGCGAGGAAGGGACACGCAGGAGGAAAACGACAGCCUGCAGACAAGAGCUGGAAAGGGAGGCUGGAAGCAGACAAGGCGAGGAGGACAGGUCUGUGGAGGUCGCCUCGGCUGUCCCCUGCCCGGAGCCAGGACCCGGCCGCAUCAGCUCAGCCUCGGAGCAAGGAGCCAAGGGAAGAAGAGAGCCCAGCCCUGAGCUCGCAUUUUGAUUAGAGACGUGUUAACGUGAGUGCUUCUGGUCCGCAAUGAGGGCGGAUAAAGUGACCUUGACGCACGGAGCCAUUUUCUGAGCGACAGCAAGGACAGCC